rnacentral:rRNA from 1 species
UGCCAGACUCCUACGGGAGGCAGCAGUGGGGAAUAUUGCACAAUGGGGGGAACCCUGAUGCAGCAACGCCGCGUGGGUGAAGAAGUACUCCGGUAUGUAAAGCCCUGUCAGCAGGGAAGAAAAUGACGGUACCUGACCAAGAAGCCCCGGCUAACUACGUGCCAGCAGCCGCGGUAAUACGUAGGGGGCAAGCGUUAUCCGGAUUUACUGGGUGUAAAGGGAGCGUAGACGGCUGGCCAAGUCUGAAGUGAAAGCCCGGGGCUUAACCCCGGAACGGCUUCGGAAACUGGCCGGCUGGAGUGCUGGAGAGGCAGGCGGAAUUCCUGGUGUAGCGGUGAAAUGCGUAGAUAUCAGGAGGAACACCGGUGGCGAAGGCGGCCUGCUGGACAGUAACUGACGUUGAGGCUCGAAAGCGUGGGGAGCAAACAGGAUUAGAUACCCCUGUA